UUCCCUUACGGGAGGCAGCAGUGGGGAAUUUUCCGCAAUGGGCGAAAGCCUGACGGAGCAAGACCGCGUGAGGGAGGAAGGCUCUUGGGUUGUAAACCUCUUUUGUCAGGGAAGAACACAAUGACGGUACCUGAGGAAUCAGCCUCGGCUAACUCCGUGCCAGCAGCCGCGGUAAUACGGAGGAGGCAAGCGUUAUCCGGAAUUAUUGGGCGUAAAGCGUCCGCAGGUGGCUUUUCAAGUCUGCGGUCAAAGACCGGGGCUUAACCCUGGAAAGGCGGUGGAAACUGAAAAGCUAGAGUGCGGUAGGGGCAGAGGGAAUUCCCGGUGUAGCGGUGAAAUGCGUAGAGAUCGGGAAGAACAUCGGUGGCGAAAGCGCUCUGCUGGACCGCAACUGACACUCAGGGACGAAAGCUAGGGGAGCGAAUGGGAUUAGAUACCCCAGUAGUCCUAGCCGUAAACGAUGGAUACUAGGUGUGGCUUGUAUCGACCCAAUCAGUGCCGUAGCUAACGCGUUAAGUAUCCCGCCUGGGGAGUACGCCGCAGUGG
rnacentral:rRNA from 1 species